GACGAACGCUGGCGGCGUGCCUAAUACAUGCAAGUCGAGCGGACCCUUCGGGGUCAGCGGCGGACGGGUGAGUAACACGUGGGCAAUCUGCCCAUCAGACUGGAAUAACGCCUGGAAACGGGUGCUAAUGCCGGAUAGUCAACUAGGGGGCAUCUCCUGGUUGGGAAAGGCGCUACGGCGCUACUGAUGGAGGAGCCCGCGGCGCAUUAGCUAGUUGGUGAGGUAACGGCUCACCAAGGCGACGAUGCGUAGCCGACCUGAGAGGGUGACCGGCCACACUGGGACUGAGACACGGCCCAGACUCCUACGGGAGGCAGCAGUAGGGAAUCUUCGGCAAUGGGCGAAAGCCUGACCGAGCAACGCCGCGUGAGCGAAGAAGGCCUUCGGGUUGUAAAGCUCAGUCACUCGGGAAGAGCGGUAUGGAGAGGGAAUGCUCUGUACGAGACGGUACCGAGAGAGGAAGCCCCGGCUAACUACGUGCCAGCAGCCGCCGUAACAC
rnacentral:rRNA from 1 species